GAUGAACGCUGGCGGCGUGCCUAAUACAUGCAAGUCGAGCGAACAGACGAGGAGCUUGCUCCUUUGACGUUAGCGGCGGACGGGUGAGUAACACGUGGAUAACCUACCUAUAAGACUGGGAUAACUUCGGGAAACCGGAGCUAAUACCGGAUAACAUGUUGAACCGCAUGGUUCAACAGUGAAAGACGGUCUUGCUGUCACUUAUAGAUGGAUCCGCGCCGCAUUAGCUAGUUGGUAAGGUAACGGCUUACCAAGGCAACGAUGCGUAGCCGACCUGAGAGGGUGAUCGGCCACACUGGAACUGAGACACGGUCCAGACUCCUACGGGAGGCAGCAGUAGGGAAUCUUCCGCAAUGGGCGAAAGCCUGACGGAGCAACGCCGCGUGAGUGAAGAAGGUCUUCGGAUCGUAAAACUCUGUUAUUAGGGAAGAACAAAUGUGUAAGUAACUAUGCACGUCUUGACGGUACCUAAUCAGAAAGCCACGGCUAACUACGUGCCAGCAGCCGCGGUAAUACGUAGGUGGCAAGCGUUAUCCGGAAUUAUUGGGCGUAAAGCGCGCGUAGGCGGUUUUUUAAGUCUGAUGUGAAAGCCCACCGCUCAACCGUGGAGGGUCAUUGGAAACUGGAAAACUUGAGUGCAGAAGAGGAAAGUGGAAUUCCAUGUGUAGCGGUGAAAUGCGCAGAGAUAUGGAGGAACACCAGUGGUGAAGGCGACUUUCUGGUCUGUAACUGACGCUGAUGUGCGAAAGCGUGGGGAUCAAACAGG
rnacentral:rRNA from 1 species